UUUCAUUGUUUUAAGAUCCAAGGGUUUUGGAUCUGUGUUCACCAGGACUAAUUGGUGAGGGUAUACUCUUAAACCUACCCAGGAAAAAGAUUAGACUGAUUUUUGUU